CAUAAUCAUCUAUAUAUGCUUUACACAAUCUCAUAUCAAAUCGAUGACAAAUAUUACUUUCACAAGUGAAGGAUUAUUUUGAGAAUCCUUAUUGUUCUCAUUACCACAAUAAUGACAAUUAUAAUUUCAUCUAUUACCACAUCCACAUCCAUUGGUAUAUUCAUAGUAAUAAUUCUGUCUUCUUUUAGACUUAUCACAUACUGCUAUUACAUUCUCUUAAGGGAAUGAGAACAAAGCAAAUUCAAUGGGACAUGUUUCCACUUCUUUGCCC
rnacentral:lncRNA from 1 species